rnacentral:rRNA from 1 species
AAUGCCAGUCUUCGAGAACAAUAUCCAGCUUUGUACAACAUUGCUCGCGAUAAGAACAAUACUAUUGCGCAGGUGCUUAGCUCAUCCCCUCCGAAUAUUUCGUUCAGGCGGGAUUUGGUUGGUGCCCGACUUAUUUCAUGGCAUAAUCUCUUAUCCCGUAUGGAUCUGAUUAACCUAACGCAAGGCCAUGAUGUGUUUCGCUGGAACCUUACUACAUCGGGGUCUUUCACGGUAGACUCUAUGUAUCGUGCGCUCAUGCAUUCUGAGGUACCGGUGAGCAAUAACUAG